CCACAAGCCAGCAGCAUUAGCUUCUAUACUGAUAUUGAAAAGGAACCAAGAAAGAUUUGAAUUGACAAGACUAGACUUCAGGGAGACAGAAGGUCAAAGAGUGACUUAAUCUGAGCUUGGAAGGCAGAACCUUAUGAUUCAAAGACUGCAAAACACUCUCAAAAAGCUGGGGGGGCGAGGAGGGUGUUGCAGAGUGGGCAUUGCUCACCAUCGAAAUAUCCACCAGGAAAGAGCAGAGUUGGAGAAGGCGGAGUGGCAGAUGGGGAGGUGUGGAGAGUUACCUUAGGAAAGGAAAACAAAAGCCAUCUAUUCGUUUUUGUCACAUUGUGGAUUCUAAGCUGGAGUGGCUGGCUCCUUUGGAGGGAGCUCUCUUUUUCUCUCCCCUCCCCAGCACCAUUCUUGGCGUUGCAUUUUUGUCUUCUAGCAGAUGGCUGCAGCUGCUGUGGUGGCAUCUGUUGCUGCUCUUUCACCUUCCAGCUUUGGCAGGAGCAGUUGGCAAGAAAAUCUUGCAAGGUCUGUGAGCACCCAGUAGUAUCACUAUCUGUCAAACUUGCAAAAAAAUGAAAAAACUAUUUCAACCAGAGGAAGGGCUGGUGCUACUGGCUAUGAUCCCUGGGGCCUAUUUGACCCGAGAUUCUGCUUCAGGCUGACUCCUCUCAUGGGAUCAGAGAUGGAAGGAGGAGUUUGGGUGUGUGCUCAUUUCACUCAUCCCAUCUUUAGGAGCAAUGACUCUUCUGAGAGGCAAAUAAAGAGGUUCCAUUGCAAAGAGCAGUGAGUGCUACAGAUAGAAAAACACUGGAAAACCAGAGGAGCAAUUUGAAGGCAUGAAGGUAUCCUGUUAACCUCUGCCCUCUCCAGCCACACUCUGCAGGAUGAUCCUCUGUAGGACUAAGCCAGUCCUCACCACGUCUAGCAAGAUAUUCAGAACCCUACCCACCUGCUGUGUUCACUCCAUCUUGGGAGAAGACGUUUGCUGUGGUUUUCUGAUUUGCACUUCUGUCCCCAGUACAAGUAAAAUUGUGUCUUAAAGCCCAGUUUGUUGGUCUGAGCUCUGAGUUGAGGUUUAGGUCUUGUCGGAGACUUUCCUCUGCAGUCUGUCUUCCCAACCAGAGAGACCACCCAGAAUGAGAGUUUAUCUGCCUCCUUGAGGAUGUCAUUUAUCCCUACAUACAGGCUCUUUCUGCCAUGCCCCACAUCAAAUGCCAGAAAUACUGGACGCCCAGACACAUGCUUGAGUUGAUCCUGAGUUGACCCUGCCCUCUGAGAUGUGUGAUUUGAAAGGAAGGUCUCCCCGACCACUUCACCACCUCCAUCAAAUUACUGCAGGAGGAACCUGUGAACCGUUAAAUUACUCUCUCCGCCCUCAGUGGAAAAUUGGAGGAGACUCAGCAGUCAGGAGUGGAAGGCCAAGUCUGAAUGAGAGGCCAGGAUUUUCCCAGUGACUGACCAUUUGUAAAGACUGACAAGCCAUGAGAGAAAUG
rnacentral:lncRNA from 1 species